rnacentral:rRNA from 1 species
AUUGAACGCUGGCGGCAUGCCUUACACAUGCAAGUCGAACGGCAGCACGGGUGCUUGCACCUGGUGGCGAGUGGCGAACGGGUGAGUAAUAUAUCGGAACGUACCUUAUUGUGGGGGAUAACGCAGCGAGAGCUGUGCUAAUACCGCAUAAUCCCUAAGGGGGAAAGCGGGGGACCGUAAGGCCUCGCGCAAUUAGAGCGGCCGAUACCUGAUUAGCUAGUUGGUGAAGUAAAGGCUCACCAAGGCAACGAUCAGUAGCUGGUCUGAGAGGACGAUCAGCCACACUGGGACUGAGACACGGCCCAGACUCCUACGGGAGGCAGCAGUGGGGAAUUUUGGACAAUGGGGGCAACCCUGAUCCAGCAAUGCCGCGUGAGUGAAGAAGGCCUUCGGGUUGUAAAGCUCUUUUGUCAGGGAAGAAACAGCAGCUCUAACACAGUAUGCGAAUGACGGUACCUGAAGAAUAAGCACCGGCUAACUACGUGCCAGCCGCCGCGGUAA